AAAUAUACAUAUUCUCCGACAACGAUGUUACCGAUAGCGACGAGUAUAAUAACAACAAGGUUAUCUCCCUUAUGCAUAUACGUAAUUUCCGGUUAGUAAUUGACAAACAAGAAAUUUUCAAACAUUUACGUUUUUGUCUUCAUUUGCUGCUUUUCGAGGAUGCUUCUGUCGAGUUUUGACAGGACAGUUUCCAUGUUACCUGCCCGGCCCCCUCCAUUACAGUUGGGACAUUGCCUGCCAGUCUUCUUCCCCAAUCAUGCCCAACCGAUUGGUCCAAUAUUGUUCAAAACUUGAUGGAAAUGCAGUGUCAUCGUAGUUUGGAGUAUGUGCAGAGCACUCGGGACAACAAGCAGUUUAUUUCUUCGAUGAGACUGAAUUAAAAGGGAGCAGGCACUGUUGUGAGCAUGAUGAUCACUACUUCAAGUACCAUGGCUUGGAGAAGAAAAGCCGAAAUUGGCACUUUGUCUUAGCAGCAAACAUGCCUGGCUUUGUGCAGUGCAGGUUUGCUGCAUCGGUGAGGGUGUAGUUUACCUUGAUGAAAACCAGAGCAGUUGUGUACCCUGAACUCCUUUCCAAAAUCUGCAUCAAGGGGAUGGAUCUUGAAUGGCAGUGGUAUUAACAUGACAAGAUCAGAGAAUACAGCAGAUUUGACAUUGAUAAAGACAGUGCGCCCUAGACAGUCUCAACCAAAGCAUUAAACUGUACAACCUGUUAAUUAACUUUUUAGAGUUGUUUGUUUGGACUAGUGUUUGACAUUCAGAAAUAAGUAAUAACAUUAUUUCUCAGUACAAGAAAUCUGUAGGAAUUAGAAGCUGACAUUUACUGCUACUAUAUAAACAAACCUCUUAGAGGUUUAGCCAGGUUAAAGAAAGACAGGGAGCCACAGAAAAGAUACAGGUUUCCAUGUGUCAAUAGGACACCCUUCAUUUAGCUGUGAAGAAUUUUAACAUUUUGAAUGUUACAGAAAAUGUUAGGAAUAUUGUAUAAUGCUUAAUUGAAGUACUAAUAGGUUUCAAGUGCCAAAUAUUUAAAGCCUGUGUGUAUUUAUAAUCUUAUGAAUAUAAAGUUGUUAUCAAAACAAAAUCAAUAUUUGACUGUCUUAAGCUUUUAAUUCUAAGGCAGGAGGUUGCCAAUCUUACUCUUCAUGACGGGUGCUUCCAAAAAAGAACAGGGGGCAGAAACCUUCCAUAACUCUUGCUAGAACCCUAAUAUCCUUUUUUCAUCAAAUUACAGUAACAUUGACAAUUAACAAAUGAUGCAGUGAUAUUUUUUUAUGCUAAUAUCAUCAAUUUUUAUUGUCAUUAAGUUUUCUUCUAGAAUUGAUUUGUACAUGUAAUGUAUUGAAAAUUGAUACUUGUGGUUGCCAUGGUUACAACUUGUUUCUUAGUGUAGUAAUAUGUUUUAUACAUAUAAAUACAAUAUUGCAUUAUGUAAACUUAUAAUAUUUUAAGAAAUAAUGAUUCAAACACAUGUACAGACACAAUAAAUACACUACUUUGUAUUUUUGUUGCCAUGGCAAUGAUUCUGUGUAUAUUUGUUACAUUUAUUGUUUUUUAUUACAGGAUUGUCCAUUAGUGAAAUUAUAAUGUGUAUAAUAAGCAUAGCUACAAAAUGCAUAGAUACAUGAAAAUACCUAUUUAUGGAUGUACAUUUUCUUCAUAUUUCGAUAAUAGAAUAUGUUUUGUACACUGACCCCCCUUGGACUUAAAUCACCGUAGCAACAAAGUCUUAAACAUUUUGAAUAUUUUUUUUUAAAUAUAUUUGUAAAGUGUCUGCCAAUGCUUAGGUUAUUUGAGUACUUUUUAAGAGCGGCGUGUGUGAUCCCUUUUACCUUUAAAGUGACACUCUUAUUCAAAAUCAAUACAUACACAUGUAUAACAAACAUAAAUUUUGACUGAUAUACAUUUAACUACUUACCAAAUAAUGCAUUUAUGGAAAAUAUUAUUUACUGAUAACAAGGUUGUAACCGUGUAUUAAAUAGCAGAAACCGCAAAAAUAUUAAAUGAUUGGUGAAUGCUAAAAGAUUUACCGUGGUCUUCUAUAGUCUUAUAAGGUAGGAAUACCGUGUUUUAUGCUCAUUUCUUUCAAAUUAAACUCAGUAUCCUUCAUAAGAACCAUUGUUUUCGACACUUAUAUCUUUUUUUGGAAUAUAAAAAAACAAUAUUAUUUAUUGCUUUAAAUCUUUUUUGGGAGUAAGAGUGCAUCUUUAAUAUUCAAUUGCAUCGUAUUGUGGUUGUCAUGGUAACAUUUUGAUUGCCAUUUAAAACUUCAAUCAUAAUUUUACAAGAAUUUUGUCACUAGUUCAAUAAUAUGUU